CAGCAAGACGCCUGCUGCUGCAAGGUUCUGCGCCUGAGCUCCAGCAGGGGGAGCUGUUAAUUAACAAGGCCAUCAUACAUGCUGAGGCUUUACAGAUGCAGCUGAUGGAUGGAGAGAUGAACUUUAUCUCUGUCUGGAGAGAGUGAUGUCGAGCUGCGCAGAAAAUCACUAACUCUGCCUGCAUACAACAGAAUGAAAAGAAGUGCUGAUGGAUUUCGGUCCAGAGAUCAGAGACCGAACUCAGAUCCUCAUCUCAGAGACCUUUACCUUGAGCCCCUGGAGUUAUCUUGGAUUGAGGCUGCAGAUAAACUGAUACGGACGCUGUACAGUCUGAAGGCGCUGGUGUCUCAGCAGGACAGCGAGUUGGAGGUUCUGCGUGCAGUUCAGUUGGAGCAUGAGCGUUCGUCCCGUCAGCGUUACAGCUCCAUCCAGGAUCAGGAGCGACAGCGGCACCUGGAGAAGCAGCGUGAGGAGCUCCUCCACCUGCAGAAGGUCCAUACGCAGCAGCGGCAGGAGCAGGAGGAGUGGGCUCGCGAGCGUCAGCGCCACCUGCUGGAGAUGCACAGGCGCGAGCAGGAGCUGAGCCGCCGCAUGGACGAGUACACCAACAAGGAGGCGUGGCUCUGUGCCGAGAGGACGUCCUGCACCGCAGCCGGGAGGAGUACCAGCAGGACCUGGAGCGUCUGAGGGACAGCACUCGCAUUGUGGAGAAGGAGAAGGAGAAACUGGAGCAGGAUAUCAAGAGAUUCAGAAAACACAAGAACCUCACCAAUCUGGGUGGAGCCUCAACCUGGGCGGGGCCUCACAUCAGGACAGCGCACAG
ensembl:lncRNA